AUUGAACGCUGGCGGCAGGCCUAACACAUGCAAGUCGAACGAGUGGCGGACGGGUGAGUAAUGCCUGGGAAACUGCCCGAUGGAGGGGGAUCACUACUGGAAACGGUAGCUAAUACCGCAUACCAUCGGAUGUGCCCAGAUGGGAUUAGCUAUUAGGGGGGGUAACGGCUCACCUUGGCGACGAUCGCUAGCUGGUCUGAGAGGAUGACGAGCCACACUGGAACGGAGCCACGGUCCAGACUCCUACGGGGGGCAGCAGUGGGGAAUAUUGCACAAUGGGCGCAAGCCUGAGGCAGCCAUGCCGCGUGGGUGAAGAAGGCCUUCGGGUGUUAAAGCACUUUCAUCGAGGAGGCGUUACUCGCAGAAGAAGCACCGGCUAACUCCGUGCCAGCCGCCGCGGUAAUAC
rnacentral:rRNA from 1 species